AACAUUUGCUGAUUUUUUCAGAAAAAUCCCCCAGAGUGUAUAUACUGCUAUAACCCCUUAGACCUUGAGCCCAUGCCACAUGUGGUCAUCGAACGACCCAAAUUAACUGUGUUCAAAUCUGGAGUUCGAGAGGAGAGUAGUCCUGGUUUUAYAUGUAUAAAGUGUGCUAUGGAAAAGGCGCCAUACUUCGGGCCCCUUGUAAACCCUGUGUUACCAAGUAAAAAGAAGAAAAUGAUCGAGAAGGAAGAAGAGGAGGAAGAAGAGGACUAGAAACAAUGAACAGACUUCUUUUUAAAACAGACAAUUAGUACGUAGUAGUGACCUGCUACACACGAUCAUCAUCGUUAUAUCAAGUUUCUGUUACAGUUGUGCUCUGAAGGCUCAGUAUCACCCUGGAUGCUUUGURCACCGUGUGAUAAUUUUGUGUUGCACAAAAAAAAAUAUUUCAGUCUUYACAAACUUGUUGAGCUUUCAAUUAAAUUUCCACAGUCAACUUAAGUUCCAAGUCUAGACAAUCAGAGACAGUCCCUUAUUUUUAAAAUUAAACGGUCGCAAAGCAUCAAGGAUGACACUUGUGCUUUGACUUGCGCACAAAUGAAACGCUAACCUGUUAAUAAAGGCCCGUUUACACUUGCGAUUUUUGAAGCGAGAUUGUCGCGCGAUCAUCGCCUAAGUUUCGAAAAUCGUCGUGACAUUAAUAAUCACAGGGCUGUUUACAGGGGCGAGCUGAGGUGCGGCUGCAAAAAUUGCAAGUGUAAAUGAUGUCGCUUUCACUAGAUCUUCCUUUUUCCCAAAAAGAGAUCCAGUCGGAUAUUUAAAAAAGUCUCGUGUUUUAUUACAGAUAGGUACACAGUUAACAAAGGUUCUAUUUUAGAUUAUAAAUAAAGAUACAUAUUUGUGGA